UACGUAGGGGGCUAGCGUUGUUCGGAAUUACUGGGCGUAAAGGGCGCGUAGGCGGCACUGUUAGUCAGGCGUGAAAUUCCUGGGCUCAACCUGGGGACUGCGCUUGAUACGGCAGAGCUUGAGGAUGGAAGAGGGUCGCGGAAUUCCCAGUGUAGAGGUGAAAUUCGUAGAUAUUGGGAAGAACACCGGUGGCGAAGGCGGCGACCUGGUCCAUUACUGACGCUGAGGCGCGACAGCGUGGGGAGCAAACAGG
rnacentral:rRNA from 1 species